GGAAUCUGAAAGGAUGAAGAGCUCUAAAUUCGAGCCAAUAGCCGGGAAACAUGGUGGGCGGCUGUGCUGAGUUCUAGAUUGGAUCUUUUUUGUAAGAUGCUCUACACUCUACACGCAGUCCAUGAGCUACAAGAAUCGCAACACCACGGCGAACCUGGUGUAAAUGGCCGAAUUAUUGGCAUGUUUCUGAGCAACGAACCACCCAAAGGGGACAUUGUCGUAUGGCCGUGACUAGCAUCGAAGAAAAGCUACGUCCAGCACGGAAGGAGCGGUUGGUAACGUGCGCAUGGUCGACCAUAAACUCCAAGACGUAUUAUAAACGGCACUCGAACGGACGUCGCGAUUCAUCUUCUUGUCUUUGUGAAAAGACAACAAUGCGGGUCUCUGUGCGAAACUGAC